rnacentral:rRNA from 1 species
GGCCAGACUCCUACGGGAGGCAGCAGUGGGGGAUAUUGCACAAUGGGGGGAACCCUGAUGCAGCGACGCCGCGUGGGUGAAGGAGUAUUUCGGUAUGUAAAGCCCUAUCGGCAGGGAAGAAGCAAGACGGUACCUGACUAAGAAGCCCCGGCUAACUACGUGCCAGCAGCCGCGGUAAUACGUAGGGGGCAAGCGUUAUCCGGAUUUACUGGGUGUAAAGGGGGCGCAGACGGCGGUGCAAGCCAGGAGUGAAAGCCCGGGGCCCAACCCCGGGACUGCUCGUGGAACUGCGUGGCUAGAGUGCAGGAGGGGCAGGCGGAAUUCCUGGUGUAGCGGUGAAAUGCGUAGAUAUCAGGAGGAACACCGGUGGCGAAGGCGGCCUGCUGGACUGCAACUGACGUUGAGGCCCGAAAGCGUGGGGAGCAAACAGGAUUAGAUACCCGUGUA